rnacentral:lncRNA from 1 species
CUGGAUUUUUCUCAGAGCUUCCGGAUGGAAAAUUGAGUGGGAAAUGAAGCACCAGAAUGCGGCAGGAGUUAUUAGCCCUGACUAUCAAUUAUGAUCUUAUCUAGUCCAUUAGGACUGUUUGAUUAGAUAGUCCCAGACUUGUUAAUAGGCUGGACUGCCCACCCAACCUCACCGAGCCCAAAGCAUUCUCUGGACAACGGAAAUC